CCCCUUUCUGGUUAUCCACAAGAGCUCAUUUGUCACUCCAAGGGGCGCUGAGACAUGGUGCGCCUGACCGGAAGACUCUAUACUACUCAGUAGCGGAUAGCAGAGUUGCCGCGGUCUGCUGCUACUUUUGAACAGAGCGCUUUCGGUCCCAGGACAUUCAAUCAGCUCUUUGGAGGGUAACAGAAGAGGCGGAGAGGCAUUGAACAACACCAAGAACUUGGGGGAGCUCCAUGUACUCACGGAAAGUGCAGUGACUUAAGGUGACCAGGAACCUCUACCAAUAACUCUGGAGCCCUGCACCGGAUAGAUGGCUAGCUGAAACUUUCAACUUCCACCUAAUUCGGGCUAGCCAUAUCUGAUCUGGGUGCUCUUUGGACAUGAUGGGUGCUCCAGAGAGAGCUUUCUGGGGAUGUAGGGCAUGUGUUGGUGCUUCUCAUUUUUAUGUAUGUAUUUUCAAGGUUUUUCAUAUGUUGGUUCUCUGUGUUCUGUAGGAAAUUAGUUUAACAGAGAGCUGACUCCAUUAUCUCCAAUACACGCGUGGGCGGGUUUAUGAUGUACUCAAUGGAGACCCCAUGCUGGGGAUUUGUGUAAAGUCAGUGUGCCUUGACCUAAUAAAACCGUUCUUCUUCACGAGGUCUCAACUAGUGUUUGGGUGAGACAGCGGGAUCCUGUGCAGGAGCUAUUCACAAUGGGGAAGGGACAAUUUAAGUGGUAGUAACCCAUCUUCUCAAAGGUAUAUCGUCACAUGAAGUAUGAAU